rnacentral:tRNA from 1 species
UCUCUGUUAGUAUAUCGGUUAGUACACGCGCCUGUCAUUAUUCAUGAUCGCGCGAAAGCUGGGUUCGACUCCCAGACAGAGAG